AUUGAACGCUGGCGGCAUGCCUUACACAUGCAAGUCGAACGGCAGCACGGGGGCAACCCUGGUGGCGAGUGGCGGACGGGUGAGUAAUGCAUCGGAACGUGCCCUGAAGUGGGGGAUAACGCAGCGAAAGCUACGCUAAUACCGCAUAUUCUGUGAGCAGGAAAGCAGGGGAUCGCAAGACCUUGCGCUUUGGGAGCGGCCGAUGUCGGAUUAGCUAGUUGGUGGGGUAAAGGCCUACCAAGGCGACGAUCCGUAGCGGGUCUGAGAGGAUGAUCCGCCACACUGGGACUGAGACACGGCCCAGACUCCUACGGGAGGCAGCAGUGGGGAAUUUUGGACAAUGGGCGAAAGCCUGAUCCAGCCAUGCCGCGUGAGUGAAGAAGGCCUCGGGUUGGUAAAGACUCUUUCGGUUGGGGAGAAAGUUAGCAUAGGCUAAGUACCCUGUGUAG
rnacentral:rRNA from 1 species